rnacentral:lncRNA from 1 species
AAAAUGCUGGAGACGUGGCAAGAAAGGGAAGGGCUGUGGCAACAAUGUCCAUAUCAUGGAAGCAAACAUGAACGAGUCUGCUGCUUCUAAUGACAUCGGUCUGAUCCAGUCAUCCACAUCUUCCAAGCCAAAAAAUCCCGAUCUUUGGAAGCAUCUCAAGGAAGCAAACAUGAACGAGUCUGCUGCUUCUGAUGAUGUCGGUCUGAUCCAGUCAUCCAAAUCCACCAAGCCAAAACAUCCUGAUCUUUGGAAGCAUCUCAAGCAAAAAUUCUGGAGACGUGGCAAGAAAGGGAAGGGCUGUGGCAACAAUUUCUAUAUCAUGGAAGCAAACAUGAACGAGUCUGCUGCUUCUGAUGACGUCGGUCUGAUCCAGUCAUCCACAUCCACCAAGCCAUAAAAUCCCGAUCUUUGGAAGCAUCUCGAGUAAAUUAAUUUAUUUUCCUCUUCUGAACUUUUAAAAACAUGUUUGUGGAUAUUUCUAUCUCAACAAAUGUACAAGAAAUUAACUUAAAAUCUUUUUUUUCAACUUAGACAAAAAUGCUGGAGACGUGGCAAGAAAGGGAAGGGCUGUGGCAACAAUGUCCAUAUCAUGUAAGGACGAGAAAAAAUCCCUUCGGAAUGUCGUGACAUGAAACGUUUAAGCAAUAGAAAUGGUGUUCCUUUCAGGAAAUUGAAGCUAUUCCUGUCGUUUCACAAUCACAUUUUGCUCCUUAAUUAUUUGG